GGGAGGGCUGUGCUUCCUGGUUCUUCUGGCUUGCGCCCGAAGUCCUACAAAGCGUGAGGGCUUCACCUCGGGACUCUGGCGACCCCAACAGGUUCCCAGUGUUCGGCUGGGGCAGGACAAGUGGUGGUGGGCAGCUUCCCUUCCAUCCCUCUUGGGCUGUAUGGGAUUUGUGCUUCUGGUGAGAUGCGUCCCAUGCACAUCAUUCGCAGGUGCCCUAGGGGGCAGAUUUCCCACAACUCUCAGAGGGCAGGUUUCUAGAAAGUUCAGCCAGUGGUGCAAUUUUCGCUGCCAUUUUGUGAGGUGCCGCCGCCGCUCCUCCGGCAAGAUGGAGUUUUGCUUUUGUUGCCCAGGAUGGAGUGCGAUGGCAUGAUCUCCACUCACUGCAAAUUCGGCCUCCCAGGUUCAAGCGAUUCUCCUGCCUCAGCCUCCCAAGUAGCUGGAAUUACAGGUGCCUGCCACCAUGCCCGGCUAAUUUUUAUAUUUUUAAUAGAGAUGGGGUUUCACCAUGUUGGCUAGGCUGGUCUCAAACUCCUGACCUCGUGAUCUGCCCGCCUCGGCCUCCCAGAGUGUUGGGAUUACAGGUGUUAGCCACCACGCCUGGCCACUUCUAUUUCUUAAAGAUUGCCUGGGGUUUUCCAAAUCUUAAAUGUCCAUAUACUUUUAAAAAUAAUUAUCAGCUUGUCAAUUUUUGGAAAUUUUUUUUUACAUGGUGGAAUUUUAAAUAAGAUUGCUAUGAUCAUUCUGGGAGAAUUAAAAAUAAAGCCUCUUAAUAAUGUCUUCCAUUCCAUGGAAAUAAUAUUUUUUCUCCAUUUACUGUAGUCUUGAAUUUCUCUCAGUGAUGUUUUAUAAUUUUUAUGUAGUGCUGUAGCACAUCAUUGGAUUUAUUCCUAAAUAUUUUAUGUUUUUGGUACUGUUAUUAAUGACAUUUGAAAUUUUAUUUUUUUCAGUGUCACAUCUACUCUUUUUUUUAUUAUUAUACUUUAAGUUUUAGGGUACAUGUGCACAAUGUGCAGGUUUGUUACAUAUGUAUACAUGUGACAUGUUGGUGUGCUGCACUAGAAAUACCAUUUGACCCAGCCAUCCCAUUACUGGGUAUAUACCCAAAGGAUUAUAAAACAU
rnacentral:lncRNA from 10 species